UACGUAGGGGGCUAGCGUUGUCCGGAAUCAUUGGGCGUAAAGAGCGUGUAGGCGGCUCGGUAAGUCCGCUGUGAAAGUCCAGGGCUCAACCCUGGGAUGCCGGUGGAUACUGUCGGGCUCGAGUCCGGAAGAGGCGAGUGGAAUUCCUGGUGUAGCGGUGAAAUGCGCAGAUAUCAGGAGGAACACCAAUGGCGAAGGCAGCUCGCUGGGACGUGACUGACGCUGAGACGCGAAAGCGUGGGGAGCAAACAGG
rnacentral:rRNA from 1 species